rnacentral:rRNA from 1 species
GACGAACGCUGGCGGCGUGCCUAAUACAUGCAAGUCGAACGCAGUGGGGACGGGUGAGUAACACGUGGGUAACCUCCCCUCAGAGGGGAUAACACUUGGAAACAGGUGCUAAACCGAUACUGAUGGAUGGCCCCUCGGUGCAUUAGCGAGGUGGUGCGGUAACGGCUCACCAAGGCCACGAUGCAUAGCCGACCGGGGAGGGUGAUCGGCAAAACUGGGACUGGGGCAAGGCCCAGAAUCCUAAGGGAGGCAGCAGGAGGGAAACUUCGGAAAUGGAGGAAAGUCUGACCGAGCAACGCCGGGUGAGUGAAGAAGGUUUUCGGAGCGUAAAACUCUGUUGUUAGAGAAGCGGUAUCUAACCAGAAAGCCACGGCUAACUACGUGCCAGCAGCCGCGGUAAUAC